rnacentral:rRNA from 1 species
GCCUACAACCAUGCUACCCUGAAUGUGCCUGAUCUUGUCUGAUCUCAAAAGCUAAGCAGCGUUGGGCCUGGUUAGUAUUUGGAGAGGAGACUGCCUGGGAAUACUGGGCGCUAUUGGCU